GGGGCUAUAGCUCAGCUGGGAGAGCGCCUGCUUUGGACGCAGGAGGUCUGCGGUUCGAUCCCGCAUAGCUCCACCA
rnacentral:tRNA from 1 species